AUGCCCUUUCUCUUCUUUGAAUCCCAAAUUUCUCCUUCAUGUUGUGGAAACAACGAUGAUAGCACAAGACAGAGGGUGGGAGAUUCACAUGACAUGAUGCAGGUCAGACAUUUUGCUAUGUAUGGCUCCUCGCACAUGGACCAUCUCCAACCUAGAGCAGAAGCAAUAAUGAAAACACAACCAAGAUGCAAACAAACUCCCCUAAACUGGGCUCCCUGUCCUUUUGGCCUGGCCGGACCGGAGACAGUUCUUACUGGAGGUAGUACCUCACAGUGGGAGUCAUCUCCACCAGUGGGCUCCCUGCCCCUGACACAGGUCAAUGGCUCUGAGGAACUGAAAAACUUUGGGAGCAGAUCACAGAAGACUCUGGUAAGUUGAGCUGCUGAAGGCUUAGAACAUGAUUUCGCUUGCAUACUGGGAAAUAACUAUUUGCACGCAAAAUUAUCCCAUUUAAUCCCUCAAUAACCUUGUGAAAUUCUGAUGGUGCUUUGCAGAUUGGGAGAAUGGAGGCCCAGAGAGAUUUAGAUCACACACUGGAAGUCAAAGACAUCAAAUUGAAGCCGAAAUUGAAAACAAAUCUCAUCGAUUUCAAAGUCUGUCCUGUCCGUGCCCACUGACCCAGCUAAAUUUUCCUUGAAUACAUUUUCCACCACACUUCCCUCCCCAUGUUAGCUCACCGCUGAUGGGCUACGACUUCCUGGGCGUGUGAGUGUCUGGGUAAGUAAGCAGGUUCUGAAUUCAGGCUGCACCACGCAUGCCUAUCCUGCCUGCACCAUUCACUGGCCUUGAGGCUUUGGGCGAGGGAAUGAAUUUCUCUGUGCCUCAGUUUCCUUGUCUGUAAAGUGGGGUGUAUUUGUCUGGGUUUUUCAGAGAAACAGAACAGAUAGGGUGUGUGUGCAUGUACACGUACAUAUAUGAACACACACAUAAUCCUUUUUUUUAAUUAAUUAAUUAAUUAAUUUAAUUUAAUUUUAUUUUUUUCACACACAUAAUCCUAUUCGUAUGUAUAGGAAUAGAGAGAUUUGUUUUAAGGAAUUGGUUCGAGUGAUGGUAGAGACCGACAGC
rnacentral:lncRNA from 12 species